GGUUUCGUAGUGUAAGGGAUAGAGCACGGUGCUCGAAAAGCACAAGUACGGGUUCGAGUCCCGACCGAGACUG
rfam:Haemonchus contortus, ISE/inbred ISE, WGS project CAVP01000000 data, contig: Hcontortus_contig_pathogens_Hcontortus_scaffold_6161